UGACAAAAUUUAAAAGCUUUAAAACCCGUACCUUAAAAACUCCAGGUGUCUGCGAAAACUUCAAACAUAACCUCAGGCACGACAAUCUCAUCACGCGUCUCCUGGUUCGCUUUGGUUAGGAAAAUUUUUAUCGAGUUUGGCCAUUUUCAGCUCCAAAAAUUACCCUCAAAUGGCUGGCGGCCGUUCGGCAGAGUGCCGGACCAGAUUGUUCAUCAGCAGUUUGCAUAUCUAAUCUAGCGGAAAGUUAAUACGUUCGACGUUCGGCAGCUAUGCGACAGAUGCGUAGCGUCGUGAGAGCAACAGACGGAAUGCAUUAAAUAUUAUAGCACUUUCGCCGUGCCGUUUACGGUCAGACACUUACCGGAUACCGUUUUCGAUUAGCUAGAGCGCGUGGAAGAUGUAUAAUAACGUGGGGCUUCAUUUUUUGAAAGCAAGUUCUUCAGAACAUGAACUCUUGUUGUUUGAGUUCUACCAAUUUUGCCAUCAUACUAUGUACUUUUACCAGUCGAACUAUGUGGUUAAGUUCUCUCGAGGCACAGAAAAAAAACUUGACCUACCUUUUCCCCCGAAUCGAUUGCAUCACUACCGAACAGCUCAAUCGUUCUCGUCACCGGCAUCGAUUCCUUGCGGCAGGUGCGUUCGGUUCCAAACACAAAACCCCAGACGCACGAACGGUGGUGCCCCGGGAGAGAUUUCCGAAUUUGAAUAUAUUUUUCCUCCCAAUCAUGCAUACAUACACGCUUCUACACUUCCACCUUGAAGCGUAUGCAUAAAAUGCAAAUUUUUAUUGCUAGCUACUUCGUUUCACCCAAAAGGCAACUACUACGCACAUCGUCGGAAUGAAUAAUUCAUGCUGACUCCUUCCUUUCCUUAGCCCCGUUCGCCCCGAAACUAUGGGGAACGCCGGUAGGUGCAAGUUUGUAAUGGAGACGAAAGCUUUUGCAGACCCUGCGCUAUUGCCCCUUGAGUACAGGGAAGGCCAUGGCGCUUUGGGUAGCCCUCUUUUGAUUAUAGGAGAGCAUAGUAAUGCAUCUGGAAUGUGUGAUUUUUAUCAAAAUUCUAUACUUGAGACUGGAAGAACGUAUCGAUUGGUGGGAGUAAGAAGAAGAAGACAUUAGAAAAUACCAUUUGCUUCCAGGGAACUAAUUUCAAUUUGUAUUGAACGACUCUAUCUGCACAAAUCUGGUGUAUCUGGUGUAUGUUAGAACUGGUGUAUGUCUCGCAGUGUUAUGGAUUGUUCUUCAAAAUGGUGUCUUACGGUAGCCUACAUUUAGGCGCUAAAUACAAUUUUUAAACGCAGGACAAGAAAGCCAAAUAUUUGAGGUCGAGUUCGUUUAGGAUUGGGAUUUUUGAGUAAUAUUUAUUUCAAUUUAUUGUAGAUUCUUGUUUUAUACACAUGUUCUCCUGCUCAAAGAUCCUUAUGCACACCCAAAGAAGGCCUUCAAAGAAUAAUUAGUAUGCAUAGCUUAGCCUCUCCUUCUCUAAUGCUAAUAAAAUAAAGCAUAAAAACAUUUAAAUUUGACCAAGAAAGCCACAAUGAGUAGAACUGCUUGUCUCGCAAACAUAAACGUGUUUUAAUAAAAUUACCUUCUAUUAUUCCCGCACGUGUAAUCCAUGUAUCAUGGUGGCUUAUUAGCAGUCCACUCGCUAGCUUCCGUACGGACUGCAGCAUACUUUUCGUUCCAUCACACGAGGGUUUGGAACAAAGCAACACACACACACAUGCACUCUGAGUACCGUGAUAUCUUUUAUCACGAGGCUCAUUUUCUUGCAUGGUAAUUACAAUCAUUAUUUCGUAAUUUAUUUACUUUUUACAGCGACUCUCUCUCUCCUCACGCUGGGCUGCGUUUUGUUAGCCACCGGUUAGCCAAAUGGAGCCACCAUGUCCAGCAGUACCGAGGCAAGCCACAUGCUAGCCGGCGACAACAUAUUUACCGCGAGAGAAAGGCUAGCCCCCUUUGUUAUCCUCUUCUGGGCGCGUUUCCAUUCUUGCUUUACGGGCAGCCCGAGACACUACUGCCGAGCGGCUGAGUAGAUUGCGUUUUUCAUUCAUUCAAACCAUACGCAAACUGACCGGUGCCGGUCGUCUAACGGGCUGGAUAGGAUGUGUGUGUGUGUGGAGGGUACUACUGUCAGACAUAAAUUAUAUCCACCACAGGGAUACCCCACAGGAACACUGCCCCAUCAUAUCACGCUCGUACUCUCAUAUCGUUUUCUCGGCCACGUCUCGAAAGUUCCUCCAGUGUUCCUAAAUAUCUCAGGCUGUUGCCAUUUUUGUGUGUGUGUGUGUGUGUCCGCUACGGACUAGCUCUCCUUUACACAUCGCGCCAGUUUUUUCGGGAGCUUUUUUUUGUGAACCACGGGGCAUAAUAGCGAUGCAAUGGUGGCAAUCAGACCAGCUGAAAUAGAGCGCGCGCGAGAGAGAGAGAGAGCCCAACCCGUUACUAACCACUGUCUACCGUUAGUUCUGCCACUUUGUCGGAAAGCACUGUAGCACACAGUACCACAUGCCGCGCGGUGGAUAAAUAAUGAUGGUUUUCAUGCUAUAAAUGUGCUGGCUGGCUGGCUGGUUGGUACGGGGCGAAAUGGAUUACAUAUGCCCGUAGUUGCAUACGCGAGAUGGAACGGAAACAUUGGUGUGCAAUGGUGGGUCACUAACAACUGCCAGCGCGCCUGGCAGUAUGCAUUCCGCCGUGCAACGAAGACUAAUGAUAUGGGUAGUUGAUCUAUUUUUGGGUUGCUUUUUAGUGUGGAUUGAGAUGUAAGCCUGGGGCGAAGCGGUGAAUCGAGUUAAAGAAUAUUUUAAUAAUAUUUAAGGACUUAUCUCCUUAUUCAAAGUCCUUUUUCGUCUCGCUUUUUUGGAAGAAUUUGGAUAUAUUAAAGCCAUUUUUAUUAUCAUGACUUUAGAUUUUCCUCUGUAAAAUGAUUUUUUAUUUCAUGUCUCGCUUAAAGCAAACUCUUUGUCUCACGCAAAUCAAAAUAAGUCUGCCCCAAAACUGCACCACUUAAAAUAAUCACAAACCGUUCAUCGGCAAAGGAUCCAUAUCGCUAAUCACGAUCGUUCCGUACCCGACUGAGACCGAAAAAGGUAAGCCCCCGUGUAAUUUGAUCCAAUUUAUUCGUUAGCCCCUUCACCGACAAUGGCUACGGUGGGCAUGAUUCGUCUUCCUCUUUUUUUUCGGUCGGGAAAUCAUUCUUGAAACUUCUGAUUCACCGUGCCCUGCCCGUUCUCGGUGACGACCGCCUUAUCUACAGUCAACUUUCCUCCGGUGAUUGGUAGGUUGUCGUAAUUUGCUUGAAUUGGGCCUGGCAUGCCGCGAAAUAUCGUGCCUGGUACGGUUCGUCUCUCUCUGUCUCUUUUUCUCCGUAUGUGUCUGUUGAGUUGUAGCGUGGAACGAUUGCCAAAUGUCACGAGGAUGUACGGAUAGUCUUCGGGUUUCUUUUCGUCCUUGUAAAAGCAACUCGUAGGCUCCUCAGCGUCUACGAGUUGCUUCACGCGGUUACCAUUGUUCCAAGUGAGCUGGCAACAAAAAAAAAGGAAAACCCCAAAAACGAAAUGAAAGGCGGACGACCAUCACGACCAGCACCCGGAGAAACCGAAAGGCACGAACAAAUAGGCCAUCAGAUAGUGCCAAAUCAAAGCUAUCUUGUUGCAUUCCGCUAGCGACGGUGUGCUUCGGUGGCCUACAAUAGCUCAGACAGCGAGCAAAGACGUCCUCGUUACCUGGGGGACACGUGUUUUUUGUUGUUGUCACGCGUCGUGCGUCGUCUAGCGUACGAGCGACUGGGCGUCUCCAUCGCGCUGACGAUUGUUGCUCGGGCGUCGGUUGUUUUUCUUUUUUCAAACCGUAUAAACCCGCGACCGGGUUGGGUAUUAAUAUAAAUGCAAUCGAAUCAAAUUACAACAACAGGUAAAAGACCCUAAGCCCUGCUACUGCCGGGCUAAUACCACCGGCUAACGAUGUACUUUCCAUCGUUCGGGGCUGAUCGUUUGUGUCGUGUGUAUUUCUUUUUUUUUUUUUGGCUUUGGUCUUUCAUUUCUCCACCCGACCGAGUUAACGCUGUGGGGGAACAUAAACACAAUUUGUUUGUGAAUUGGACAAAUAUCGCUACUAAUACACCUUCGCAUCGGUUCGCCGGCGUCGUUACGUUAGAGCGGCCGGACGGGCUUGGGCACUAAGGAGACAAAAGUGAGGUUAAUGUUGAGGUGAACUUGGCACGGAACCUCGGAGAGCGAAUGUUUGUUUUUUCGCUUUAUUGAUACUCUCGAGCAUUCACCCACACAGAAUUUUAGCUUGAGUUUUUGCAUUAUUUUUGGUGUGGAAAGAACAGAUUUCCAGAUAUUCAUAUACCAAGGAUGAAUCGCCAUGCUUAAAUGUUUUCAUGAGGAUGUCCUUGAAAAUUAAUGGCUUGUAUGAUUGAUCGUUUCGAAGAGGAAUAAAACGGAGAAGGAUGGUAUAAAAUAUGCAGAGAGAGGUGUUUUUCAAGUAAUUCGAAAUUAAUUUUUAUUUGUUAUAUUUUUUUAAUCUUAUGUACUUGAUCAUUUAAUAGGCUUUUUAUAAUUUUUUCAAAGUUCAUGCUUCAAUUAACAUUCUAAAAAAAUAUACAAAAAAAUAGAAUUUUUACUGAUCAGCAUAAAAAAUAAUGCACCAAGAAAACACAUUUCCCCUAAAAAAAAAAUCCAUUGCUCUCGUCAAACAAUCAGUCAUUCAGCAUAAAUUAACGGCGCUGACAGUGCAGCACACGGUUGAAUAAAGGGGAACGGGUAGAAGCAGGAUAAUAGAAUGGUGCUAUAGAUUGUGGUUUAAAAGGUGAGGAAUCG